rnacentral:rRNA from 1 species
CCUACGGGUGGCUGCAGUGGGGAAUAUUGCACAAUGGGGGAAACCCUGAUGCAGCGACGCCGCGUGAGUGAAGAAGUAAUUCGUUACGUAAAGCUCUAUCAGCAGGGAAGAAAAUGACGGUACCUGAGUAAGAAGCCCCGGCUAACUACGUGUCAGCAGCCGCGGUAAUACGUAGGGGGCAAGCGUUAGCCGGAUUUACUGGGGGUAAAGGGAGCGUAGACGGUGCGGCAAGUCUGGAGUGAAUGGCCGCAGCUUAACUGCGGCACUGCUUUGGAAACUGGCGAACUAGAGUGCGGGAGGGGUAAGCGGAAUUCCUAGUGUAGCAGUGAAAUGCGUAGAUAUUAGGAGGAACACCGGUGGCGAAGGCGGCUUACUGGACCGUAACUGACGUUGAGGCUCGAAAGCGAGGGGAGCAAAAGGGAUUAGAUACCCUGGUAGUC